rnacentral:tRNA from 1 species
GGCCCAUUGGUCAAGAGGCCUAAGACACCGCCCUCUCACGGCGGAGACAGGGGUUCGAAUCCCCUAUGGGUCACCA